rnacentral:rRNA from 1 species
UCGGGAAUUUUGGGCAAUGGGCGAAAGCCUGACCCAGCAACGCCGCGUGAGGGAUGAAGUAUUUCGGUAUGUAAACCUCGAAAGAAUGGGAAGAAUAAAUGACGGUACCAUUUAUAAGCUCCGGCUAACUACGUGCCAGCAGCCGCGGUAAUACGUAGGGAGCAAGCGUUGUUCGGAUUUACUGGGCGUAAAGGGCGCGUAGGCGGCGCGGUAAGUCACUUGUGAAAUCUCUGAGCUUAACUCAGAACGGCCAAGUGACACUGCUGUGCUAGAGUGCGGAAGAGGCAACCGGAAUUCUUGGUGUAGCGGUGAAAUGCGUAGAUAUCAAGAGGAACACCUGAGGCGAAGGCGGGUUGCUGGGCCGACACUGACGCUGAUGCGCGAAAGCCAGGGGAGCAAACG